rnacentral:rRNA from 1 species
CGCUGGCGGCGUGCUUAACACAUGCAAGUCGAACGGAAAGGCCCUGCUUUUGUGGGGUGCCCGAGUGGCGAACGGGUGAGUAACACGUGAGUAACCUGCCCUUGACUUUGGGAUAACUUCAGGAAACUGGGGCUAAUACCGGAUAGGAGCUCCUGCUGCAUGGUGGGGGUUGGAAAGUUUCGGCGGUUGGGGAUGGACUCGCGGCUUAUCAGCUUGUUGGUGGGGUAGUGGCUUACCAAGGCUUUGACGGGUAGCCGGCCUGAGAGGGUGACCGGCCACAUUGGGACUGAGAUACGGCCCAGACUCCUACGGGAGGCAGCAGUGGGGAAUAUUGCACAAUGGGCGGAAGCCUGAUGCAGCAACGCCGCGUGCGGGAUGACGGCCUUCGGGUUGUAAACCGCUUUCGCCUGUGACGAAGCGUGAGUGACGGUAAUGGGUAAAGAAGCACCGGCUAACUACGUGCCAGCAGCCGCGGUGAUACGUAGGGUGCGAGCGUUGUCCGGAUUUAUUGGGCGUAAAGGGCUCGUAGGUGGUUGACCGCGUCGGAAGUGUAAUCUUGGGGCUUAACCCUGAGCGUGCUUUCGAUACGGGUUGACUUGAGGAAGGUAGGGGAGAAUGGAAUUCCUGGUGGAGCGGUGGAAUGCGCAGAUAUCAGGAGGAACACCAGUGGCGAAGGCGGUUCUCUGGGCCUUUCCUGACGCUGAGGAGCGAAAGCGUGGGGAGCGAACAGGCUUAGAUACCCUGGUAGUCCACGCUGUAAACGGUGGGUACUAGGUGUGGGGUCCAUUCCACGGGUUUCCGUGCCGUAGCUAACGCUUUAAGUACCCCGCCUGGGGAGUACGGCCGCAAGGUUAAAACUCAAAGGAAUUGACGGGGCCCCGCACAAGCGGCGGAGCAUGCGGAUUAAUUCGAUGCAACGCGUAGAACCUUACCUGGGUUUGACAUGGAUCGGGAGUGCUCAGAGAUGGGUGUGCCUCUUUUGGGGUCGGUUCACAGGUGGUGCAUGGCUGUCGUCAGCUCGUGUCGUGAGAUGUUGGGUUAAGUCCCGCAACGAGCGCAACCCUUGUUCACUGUUGCCAGCACGUUAUGGUGGGGACUCAGUGGAGACCGCCGGGGUCAACUCGGAGGAAGGUGGGGAUGACGUCAAGUCAUCAUGCCCCUUAUGUCCAGGGCUUCACGCAUGCUACAAUGGCUGGUACAGAGAGUGGCGAGCCUGUGAGGGUGAGCGAAUCUCGGAAAGCCGGUCUCAGUUCGGAUUGGGGUCUGCAACUCGACCUCAUGAAGUCGGAGUCGCUAGUAAUCGCAGAUCAGCAACGCUGCGGUGAAUACGUUCCCGGGGCUUGUACACACCGCCCGUCAAGUCAUGAAAGUUGGUAACACCCGAAGCCGAUGGCCUAACCGUUGUGGGGGAGCCGUCGAAGGUGGGACUGGU